UUACACUCAGAAAGAGAGUGAACAACUAGAAGAUGUGGAAGAAAAUUCCAACGGCCAAUUUUGAAACAAACCAGGCAGACAGACCCAGAUGCAGAAUGCUGCAGGCUGAGGGAUGUUAGGAAGAGUUAGCCCACCACUGCUGCGCUGAAACCAGGAUGACAGAAACUGGGCCUCAGGCCAGGCUUAGAAUAUAAACUGAAACCUUGAAGAAGUGACCACCUUGUCAUCAACACUUUAUUCUAAGGAUAACAGAGAUAAAUGAUAUAAGGAUCUCUGUUUCUUAAUGGCAUUGUUGAGCCCUAAACUUUCUACUGCUAGAUAUUUUAUUGCAUGAAAUAAAUAAACCUUAGUUGUUUAAAA
rnacentral:lncRNA from 1 species